rnacentral:rRNA from 1 species
AUCUCUGUAGAGUCUGCAUAUCAAUAAGCGGAGGAAAAGAAACUAACAAGGAUUCCCUUAGUAACGGCGAGUGAAGCGGGAAGAGCUCAAAUUUGAAAUCUUCAAGGUUUUACCUUGACGAAUUGUAGUUUAAAGAAGUGUUUUCUGUUGAAGUUUCGGUAAAAGUUCUUUGGAAUAGGACAUCAUAGAGGGUGAGAAUCCCGUAUUUGACCAGUUAUUUUCAACUGUGUGAUACACUUUCAAAGAGUCGGAUUGUUUGGGAAUGCAGUCCAAGAUGGGUGGUAAAUUUCAUCUAAAGCUAAAUAUUGGCGAGAGACCGAUAGAGAACAAGUACCGUGAGGGAAAGAUGAAAAGAACUUUGAAAAGAGAGUUAAACAGUACGUGAAAUUGUCAAAAGGGAAGCGUUUGACACCAGUGUUGUUUUCUCGAAAAUCAAUUAAAAAUGACUUGAUUUUGUGUUGUAUUGACCUUAAAAGCUUUCUUCACUUUUUUCAUGUCUUUUUUAAUGCACUUUUCGUUUAACAAGUCAACAUCAGUUUCUUUUGUUGUAAAAAGGUCAUUGGAAGGUGGCUUUCUUUUCGGAGAAAGUGUUUAUAGCCUUUGACUCCUGCAAUCGGAGAGACUGAGGUCUGCAGCGUAGAUCCUUCUUGGAUUAGAUUCAUUUGUGCUAAGUUAUAGCUUUUCAUAGACAACUUGUUGACUAUGUUUAGUCUUGUAGCUUACUCGCUUAUGUAAUUUUACCUACGCUUAGGAUGUUGAUCUCUCACAGUCGAGC